rnacentral:rRNA from 1 species
AUUGAACGCUGGCGGCAGGCCUAACACAUGCAAGUCGAGCGAGCGGCGGACGGGUGAGUAAUGUAUGGGGACUGCCCGAUAGAGGGGGAUACCUCCUGUAACCGGUGGAUAAUACCGCAUACUAUCGGAUAACCCAUAGGGGAUUAGCUAUUAGGUGGGGUAAAGGCUCACCUAGCCGACGAUCCCUAGCUGGUCUGAGAGGAUGAUCAGCCACACUGGGACUGAGACACGGCCCAGACUCCUACGGAGGCAGCAGUGGGGAAUAUUGCACAAUGGGCGCAAGCCUGAUGCAGCCAUGCCGCGUGUAUGAAGAAGGCCCUAGGGUUGUAAAGUACUUUCAGUCGGGAGGCGUUACCGACAGAAGAAGCACCGGCUAACUCCGUGCCAGCCGCCGCGGUAAUAC